ACAUUCGGCUUGCGUUCGCGAGACAGGCUACAGUAAAUUUUUGGAGGCUGUGUUUCGAUCUUGUCCUACUAAUUUAUUUUCUGUUUCUGCGCGUGUAAAAGCCACAAACCAUAAAGCCGACACAAGACAAAGCUAUAGUCACAAGCUAAACAGAACGAGCAAAGUUGUAAUAUAAGAAGAUAUUUCGGAGAUUCCUGCAUGGUCCAGAGCCAGACAAAGAAGGAGUCUCCCCCAAAUCGGGCUGGCAAUUGCCUUGCAGCAAAGCCAUCAACAAAACAAGACAAGACAAGACUAGA